rnacentral:rRNA from 1 species
AGAGUUUGAUCCUGGCUCAGAACGAACGCUGGCGGCGUGCCUAACACAUGCAAGUCGAACGAGAAAGCCAUGACUUCGGUUGGGCGAGUAAAGUGGCGCACGGGUGAGUAACGCGUAGGCAACCUACCCUUGAAUUUGGGAUAACAGUGCGAAAGUGCUGCUAAUACCGGAUACGACCCUUUUGUGCUGGGCGAAAGGGUGAAAGUCGGCCACUGGAACAAGCCGACGUUCGGGGAUGGGCCUGCGUCCUAUCAGCUGGUUGGUAGGGUAACGGCCUACCAAGGCGACGACGGGUAGCUGGUCUGAGAGGAUGAUCAGCCACACUGGCACUGGAACACGGGCCAGACUCCUACGGGAGGCAGCAGUGAGGAAUUUUGCGCAAUGGCCGCAAGGCUGACGCAGCAACGCCGCGUGGGUGAAGAAGGCCUUCGGGUCGUAAAGCCCUGUCAGGUGGGAAGAACGACACGGGGAGGAAUAUGCUCUGUGAGUGACGGUACCACCAGAGGAAGCACCGGCUAACUCCGUGCCAGCAGCCGCGGUAAUACGGAGGGUGCGAGCGUUAUUCGGAAUUACUGGGCGUAAAGCGCGUGUAGGCGGCCAACCAAGUCUGAUGUGAAAGCCCUGGGCUUAACCUGGGAAGUGCAUUGGAAACUGGCUGGCUUGAGUACUGGAGAGGAAGGGGGAAUUCCCGGUGUAGAGGUGAAAUUCGUAGAGGUCGGGAGGAAUACCAGUGGCGAAGGCGCCCUUCUGGACGGUUACUGACGCUGAGACGCGAAAGCGUGGGGAGCAAACAGGAUUAGAUACCCUGGUAGUCCACGCUGUAAACGAU